rnacentral:rRNA from 1 species
AGUGAACGCUGGCGGCGUGCUUAACACAUGCAAGUCGAACGAGAACGGAUUAUAGCUUGCUAUAAUUGUCAGCUAGUGGCGCACGGGUGAGUAAUGUAUAGGUAAUAUGCCUCUUACUAAGGGAUAACAAAUGGAAACGUUUGCUAAUACCUUAUACUCCUUAUUAACAGAAGUUAAUAAGGGAAAGAUUUAUUGGUAAGAGAUUAGCCUGUAUUGUAUCAGUUAGUUGGUGGGGUAAUGGCUUACCAAGACUAUGACACAUAACUGGUUUGAGAGGAUGAUCAGUCACACUGGAACUGAGACACGGUCCAGACUCCUACGGGAGGCAGCAGUGGGGAAUAUUGCACAAUGGACGAAAGUCUGAUGCAGCAACACCGCGUGGAGGAUGACACAUUUCGGUGCGUAAACUCCUUUUAUAUGAGAAGAUAAUGACGGUAUUAUAUGAAUAAGCACCGGCUAACUCCGUGCCAGCCGCCGCGGUAA